UGCGCCUGGACCCUAAUGGAGCUGUGUGCUGGGUCGGCCUCAAGGGCGUCACUCCGAGGUCCCUGUCCUGCAGGGGCAGCAGGUCCCAUGGCGCCCUUGCCCUCUGAGGGAGAACAUCUCCCUCCCGUGUGGCUCCGCCAGCGGCAGGACACACAGCCUGAGGGGGAUGUGAUAAGGGGGGGUCACGCUGUCCUGGAGAACAGGCCCCUCUGCACGCCCGAGAGGUUCUGUCUACCGAGCCCUCCCCAGGGCCCCUCCCACCCCCUGCCCUCCCUGCUGAAAGCGGGGGCGGCUUGGCGUGGAAUGGGAACACAGGGUCCAAACUUGGCGGCCGUCAUCCCAGCCGGGAGAGGAGAGUGCUCAGCAACUGGGGACCCCAGCUGGGGCACCCCGAGGCACCAGGUCCCUCCACCACCUCCAGGGGCCGCGGGCAUGGGCUGCUUGUUGGUGUGGGCUCUGCAUUCAGGGACCCCACCCAUCUGUCCAUUUCUGCAGAUCCUCCUUAGCUGCAGCCCCAAGGAUGGACCCAGGAGACGCUGCUGGUGACCCCGCCGCUGGUGCGCGCCGCUGCACAGGCCAGGACCCCCUCCUGCUCCUGCAGACCCUGCAGACCCUGUGGUCCACGCGGGAGCGGCAGCAGCUCCGGGAGGAAGCCUGGCGGGGGUUUGCUGCCCUGGACGACCCCCUGGCCGGGCUUCUGGACAUGCUGGAGAGCAGCCAGGGCCGGCGGGGAGAGGGUCCCUCCCUGGAGGCCUGGGUGUCCCACCAGCUGCAGUGCUGGCUACAGGCACAGCCACGACCGGACCCAGCCCAGCACAGCCCGAGGCUGGAGCAGCUGCAGGCCCGAGCGGUCAAGGUCCUCACUGAGAGUCCCCCCAGCCUUGCAGCACCACUGGCCAGCAUCUUCCAGCUACAGGAUGCAGACCGGAGCUGCCUGCUGGAGCACGUCCACCGCCUCUACCACGAGGGCAGGUUCAGAGAAGCAGUCAUGCUGGGCACGACGUUGAAGCUGCAGCCAGAACUUGAUGUUGAAAAGAUGAGCGUCCCACUGCUCCUCCAGGACAAGGUGGCCCUCGUGGAGCGCUAUGUGGCCGGCUUCCCAGACCUCCAGAGGAGGCUGCUGGCCCUCAUGGACUCCUGGUGCCAGCCUGGCUUUGACAUCAAGGAUGUUGCCAGACAGUACCCUCAGGUGGCCUCCCUGAGCCUGGAGAAGCUGAGUCCGAAGGUGCUGAGCAGGCAGGUCUUACGUCUGCAGGAGCAGUUCGGCAUGGUCCCGGCACUGUGUCCCCACGCGGCCACGCAGCAGCGCCUGGCAGCCCUGCGGCACCUGUGCCACAAGCGGUUUGUGGAGAAGAGCCUGUCUCAGGAGAACUGGGCUGACCACGUGCAAGGCCUCGUGGGACACAGCCCGUGGCUUCAGGAGCAGCUGUCUCAGCUGCUGACCUCCCUCGGUGACCCAGGCACAGCCGCCAGGUGCGCCCUGAACCUCCUGCUGCCCGAGGACCAGCUGCCAGCCACAGUGGCUGCAGAGCUCAGCCGGCUCCAGCUCCAGGGGAGGGCGGCUGACGCUGACUCGAGGCCCAACGUGAAGGACAUGAAGGACCAGCACUACCAGCUGCCCAUCCCCAGGGAGAACGUCUACCUCCUGGCCUCUCGAGAAGACCUCGCCAGACACGAGGGUGCCCUCCUGCAGCCCCAGCAGGUGGUUGGUGUGGACCUGGAGUGGACACCAGUGUUCGUUGCUGGGGGCCGGCCCCGGCCAUCACUCCUGCAAGUGGCCAUGGAGGGCCGCGUGUUCCUUUUUGACAUUCUGGCACUCACGCAGCCGCCAGCAGGACAGGGAGCCCAGGCCUUCUCCCAGCUGGUGGCCCAGCUCCUCUCGGACCCGUCCAUCACCAAGCUGGGCUAUGGGAUGGCGGGGGACCUGCAGAAACUGGGCACGUCCUGCCCUGCCCUGGCCCACGUGGAGAAGCAGGUUCUGGGUGGCAUGGACCUGCUGCUGGUGCACAGACAGAUGCGUGUGGCAGGCAUGCCAACCCCAGGCGUGGACAGGGCUAGUGGGCUGAGAGGCCUGAGCCUCCUAGUGCAGCAGGUGCUGGGCACGACCCUGGACAAGACACAGCAGCUGUCCAACUGGGACCGGAGGCCGCUCUGCGAGGAGCAGCUCAUCUACGCAGCUGCUGAUGCCUACUGCCUGCUGGAGGUGCACCAAGCCCUGUGCAGAGAGCCCGCCCGCUUCCACCUGUCGGGGGACCUGGCUGGGAGCCAGAGGCCCAGGCACAGAGAGAGACCAGGGACACAGGAGCCGCCCGGCCUGCGGGAGGCGUCGGCGUCACCCAGGCAGGUCCCUGUGGCCGUGGCUGAGGCCACCAUCCCUCGGGUCCCUGCCAGGACCUUCCGUGUGGUGUGUGACAACAUGCUACAGGGGCUGGCACGGAGCCUCCGCUGUCUGGGUGUGGACGCGCACGUGCUGGGCAGCAGUGAGGACCACCGCAGGGCAGCCGAGGUCGCCAGGCUGGAGGGGAGGAUCAUCCUGACGUCAGGGCAGCCCUACCACACGCUCCGGGCCCAGGUCGGGGCUGGGCGCUGCCUCCUGGUCGACGGCUCCCUGAAGGCCCAGCAGCAGGCCAAGUCUGUCCUCAGGCAUUUCAAUGUGCGUGUCACCCAUGAAGACAUCUUUAGCCGCUGCCAGGCCUGUAACAGUGACCAGUACCUGAAGGUGUCCAGAGACAUGAUGAAGCAGCUCAUGUGGCUCAGCAGCCACCAGGAGGGCCCCUGGACCUCGGAGACGGUCCUAGCCUCAGUUUCCCUGCCUGUGGAACUACAAAGAGGGCUUCUUUCUGCCCCUGUGGAGGGUGGAGGCCACCCAAAGACUUUGCAGCUUUAGAUCUUCGUGGAAAGUAUGUGCCCCCUACCCCUGGCAGAACGGCCACCCCCACCCUAAGGAGUGGAGGAUGCUGCUUCUGCUCCCCUCAGGCGGGGCCGGCAUGGGGGCUAAAGGGAUGGAGGUGGAUAGAAAGGGGUCAGUCCAAGGUCAGGGUGGGAGGACGGGGAGCGAGCACCACCCAGGGUGGCCAGCGGAGCAAGCCCCGGAGGGCAAGGCUGGAGGCGGCCCCUAACCUCAGGUCCCCCCCACCCCACCCCUGCCCCUGCCCACAGAGGCACACUCAGGCCUCAGCCCCAGGACAUGACGGCACACACUACCCUAGGGUGGUGGGCAGCACCCAGAUGGGCUGAUGGGUGUCACAGGGGCUGCAGGGUAAGAGCUGGGGCCAGACACACAGGGGUGAGGCUGGGAGGCCAGAUGAGGGUCAUGGCCUCCUGAGCUUCCAGGAGGGGCUGGGGCUGGGGUGGGGGCCUCAUGCAUUCAUCCCCGGCUGCAGCUGACCCAUAGCCCUCUGUAGAGAAAUGCUUGCUGAGCAAAUGACCAGGGUCAACAGGAGCAGGGCGGACGCUUCUCCCACCUGCUGGCCAGUGGUGCCCUCGGCCCUGCGGUGACCCCUGGGUGGCUACCAGCCCUGCCUGCCUGGGGCUUUUAGUGGGGGCCGGGGGCCUCCCAGGGCCAGUGCGAGCCACUUCCCAGGGUCUCCCACAGAUCCUGGGCCUGGCAGUCCCUGGGCCCUGCCCACCCCCCCGCCCUUGCGCUGGCUGGUUUCGAAAUUCGCUCCCUGGCAGUGGGCUUAUCUGCUCAUCACCACAAAUGGGCUGCCCCCGCCCCCGCCCACCAGUUCUCAGGCCCCCGAGAGCCCUAAUCAGCCGAUCUCAUGCCUGGAACAUGUUUCCCAGGGACCUUUGAGCCCUAAGACCUUUCUGAGGUGUGAGUUCCCAAGGGAGGGGCCCAGGCCAGCACCAGUUUCUUGGCCCCCUGCCCUCUACCCGUCUUGGAAGGCUGGGAGGGUGCAGUGAGAGGCCGCACUCCAUGAGGUGACUGGUGCCCGCCAAGCCCCAUCCCUAGGAGGUCCUGGACCAGUUCUCAUCCUUGAUUGACAGGCAACAAGGCCACCCACAGCCAGGAGAGGCAGGAGCCAGGUCCAGCCCCAGAGGAAGCCCCUGGGGGCAGCACCCAUGACCGCCCCUGCCGCUGGCUGCAGGCGGCUGACCUAUGUGCAGAGAUGCCAGACAUGCUGGCCAACGGCACCCGGCUGCAGCUGGCCAGGGUCCCGGCGGGCGUGCUGAGGACACCGGGGCUGCGGCACUUCUACUGCUGCACGCGCUGUGGGAAGGUCUUCUGGGAUGGCUCCCACCUGGGUCGUGUUGCCACCCACUUCCGAGACGUCCUGGAGAGCGCCCCGGGCCCCUGUGAGCCGAGCCCAGCCCCCAGCCCGGCCGGCAGCUCCUUCUGAGGACAGCAAGGCAAUAAACAUGGAACAUGCCGAGUGCUGGGCCCGUGGCCGUGGACUUGCUCAUACGUUUCAUGCUCGCCUCACAAGCCUUUCGUGGGCCCCUCUGUGUGCCAGGAAGUGCCGGGAACACCAGGGCGGGUCCCAGCCCCAGCAGCUGUUGGGGGAAGAUGAGGGUUUCCAGAUGGUCAGGAUGCUGGGACCCCGAGCUGAGUGGGACCUGAAGGGUCUCUCCCUCACCCCGCGUCAGGGCUGUGUGGUCCCCCGGGAUCUCUCUGUCACCCCCAUCAGGCCGUAUGGUCUCUGUGGGGUUUCUCCAUCACCCCCGUCAGGGCUGUGUGGUCCCCGCGGGAGCGCGUCAGCCACAGCCCGGCUGGAGGCACCUGGGCAGCCGGCCACGGCCAGGGCUUCGUACACACGGACGCAGGCGACUCCGUCCUCACAGCUGCCGCCCCUGGAUGGGAGGAGGACAAAGCCCAGGCGACCACUGCUGCCCACCCUGAGGACCCGAGGGUGCUGUGCCAGGUAGCAGGGAGGGCAGGGGGCCCCGAGGUGGGAGAGGAGGAGGAGCCCGGGGAGGGGCCGUCCCAGGAAUGUGCCCCCUCCCCUCCCCUCACCCACAUCCCUUUCCUCUGCUUCCUGCCUGGAGCGGAAAUCAGGUCGGAUUUGGCUGAGGAGCCCGGGCGGAAGCCUCGGUGCAGGGGCCUGGGGGCUGGGGAGAAGCAGAGUGAGGAGCAGGCUUCGGGCGCAAAGGCCUUGGGCAUCCCUGGACUGGCCCAGCGGGGCCUUGCUGUAGGCCCCGACCACACCAGGGCUGGCCACUGUGCCUGGGCACCCCUGGGCACCCCUGGGCACUGCAGCCCAGCCCCUUAGCCCUCAGCAACCCAGCCGGGGUGUCAUUUCACAGAUGGGAGGGGCGAGGCUGGACGGGAAGGGCCUGGCCUGUGUCAGAGCCAACUGUCCAGUCUUGACCUGCCCCCUUGACCUGCCGGGCAGCUGGGGGGCCUGAGCCUAAGUCAGGCGGGGGUGUCAGGGGGAGCAGAGCGGGACCCCAGGAGAGGGUCAGGGCUCUGGACUGUGAUGCUGCUUCCAGGAGGGGACUCCGGGUCCUCACCCUGUCCACACUCCUGCCUGGCGGGGUUAGGACAGAGUGGCUGAGGGCACCCACCCUCCGCCCAGCCCCGUCUCAUGCUGGAGACACGCACGGCUCCCAGCCCAGGCCUGAGAGCUACUGUGGGCCCCGGGCCGAGCGGAGCAGAGGCUGCGGGAAGAUGGAGACCACCGUCCUCCAUCUCUCCUGGCCCUCCCGGCUGGCUCUGCCUCUGCCUGCCCCCACUUUCCACCGUGGCCCUGCUGCUGUCCGCACGUCCCUCACUGCCCAGCACAGGCUCGGCCUGGCUCUGUGGCGUCCAGCCCAGGCCCAGGCUCUGGUGCGGGGAGACCGUCUGCCCAGUCCCCACCCGGGUCCACGUGUUGGAAGCCAGCCUGGGGCUCUAGGGGUCAGCACCCAUCAGGCUGCUUCCUGGGCAAGGGACAGAGCCCAGGCUGACUGGGUGGCUGUGGCUGCUGGUGCCAGGCCAUGCCCUGAGCGGCCAUCCUGGCGGGCAGGAGACAUGGUCGCAGGGAUUGUCUGCGGCAGUUCCUUCCUCUGCUGCGGCCUGCGCUGGCCCGGGCUGAGUGUUUGUUAUUUGAUCUCGAUCCUCUCAGCCCUUCUACCAGGUGUCUGGGCUGCUGGGAAGAAACACUCUCCUCUUUCCCACGCUCCCGACACAUUUUAAUGAAUUAGCUGGAAGCCCCGCCCCCACUGCCCGCCACCCUCCCUCCCUGCUUAGUGCCUUUAAGGUGGCCGCAGGCCUCGGCCCAGCUCUGGCCAGCUGCCCCUUCUGUGCUGUCCUCCCUGGGCCCUCCCCAUGUGGCUCACUGAUCUGAGGCUGCAGGAAAGGGAAGGAAGGGGGUGCCUGCAGGGAGAAGGGGCCCCACCAUUGCCUUCUGGGGGUGGGUGGGUUACAGGCAGGGCGCCCUGGGGCCAGCAGCCUCAGGACAGGCAGGGAGGAAGGAUGGGGCCCAGCUGCACAGUCGGGGCUGAGCCUGUUGGGGUCCCAAGGCAGGGGCUCCCAGACAGCAGAACGCUCCCUGCCUGCUUACGUCUCGGCCCAAGCAACACCAGCAAACGCCAGGGGGUCCUCCGCACGAGCACAGGGUGGCUGGAGGUGGCCCCCAGGCCCCAGCAUUUCGAACAGAUGUCCACCUUUUGGAUGUCCCUCGGCAAACAUUCGGGAAGUGCUGUCGUUGCCCCGGGCCCCUCCCCCCUUCCCGUCCUCAGAUGGAGCCGCUUCAGGGCCGUGGGUGUGGCCAGGGGAGCUUGGCGCCACUGUGCACAGUGUAGGAGCCAGAGCCAGCACCCCUAAGCUUUCUCCCCGUGGGCAGUGAGGGGUGGCCGGACUCUGAACCCCAUAGAUGAGCCUGGGCACAGGCUUGGGCCACAGCCACAUGGCAGGCCAGGCCCGGCCACCUCUGCCUGACCCUGCUCCGGACCCCGGCGAACCCAGGGCAAGGGGUAGGCUCCCACCGCCUCACAGGGCCGCCCUACCAGCCACACUGUCCCUGCCAGGGCGCCCGAGCCGCCCGGCCCUCACCAGGGGCCGCCACCGAUUUCACGCCCGUGGCGGGGCCCGCGUUCCCACACCAAGCUCACACAGGGCCCCUUUGUUUGGCGCCGCCACGGAUGUCGGCGGGACUUUCUCCCAGGCCCUGCUCCUGGCCCACAGCAGAGCCAAAUGCCGGCUUAAGCCCACCUGGGCCUCGGCCUGUUUGCAAACCACCCACCUUCCAGGGGAGGGCCUGUGCCCCUGAGAGCCCAGGGCUCCGCCCAGCCCCCAGCCAUGCCCUCCGCCUCUUGCCAGUCUAGCCUAGCUGGGCCCUGGGCAGAUGCACAAAACCCACCAAUGCCCAGG